UCACUGUACAAGAGGGGCCGGAGUCAGAAGGACCCACACUCCUCCCACCAUUCAGCCACUACCAUUGAAUUACAAUGCUCUGUCUCCUAACGCACACAGAAACAACCAGGAGGGACACUGGCUUUUACCUUCACAGACCAAAACCUUAAAGGAAGCACACAGUGAGCACGCGACAGGACUACUUUCAACGAUACCGGAGACGUUGAUAGUAAACGUCCGCACCUAUACCUCCCUCCGUCUGUUUUCGGGUUAAAAACUUGGGCUCUGUCAGCAUUUUACCGGCCACCCACCUCUCCUACGGUUAUCUCUGACACGGGUCGUCCCAGGUUGACUCUAGGGAGGGAGAAACAAACACAAAACGUUCAACUUCUUGACACUGAACCGCAACGUUGAUCCUGAAAUAAGAUUAAAAAAAAAAACAAAAAAGGCUCCGGCUUCAGACAGGGUUCUUCGUAGUCAGUGGGAUGUUAGUGCUCUGGAAGCAGGACAAGGACUGACUGAAGGAGCAUGGUGAAACACCAGCCUCUCCAGGUCUAUGAGCGCCAGCUGUGUUUGUCAUGCAUCACUGGGAUCUAUGGUUGCCGCUGGAAACGUUACCAGCGUUCCCAUGAUGAUACCACCAAGUGGGAGCUCCUGUGGUCCCUCAUCCUCCUUUUCACUUUCUGUCUGCUGUUGGUUUGGUUUUACUUCUGGUGGGAGGCUCACAACGACUACAAUGAGUUUAACUGGUUCCUCUACAACCGCUAUGGGGAAUGGAGCGAUGGCACCGUUCCCAUCUUGGCCACCACCGCCGCGGGUUUCACCUACAUUGCAUUUUUAACAGUUUUAGCACUUUGCCACAUUGCAGUUGGACAGCAGUUGAAUUUACACUGGCUCCAUAAGAUAGGAGUUACUGCUGCUCUACUCACUACUAUUGUUGGCGUGAUAUCUGUCAAUGAGACAUGGGGACAAGAGUGGGACAUCAUCCCCAUCUCCUUGCAGGCCACAGGUCCAUUCCUGCACAUAGGAGCUCUGGCUACCGUCACUGCACUGUCUUGGAUUGUAGCUGGACAGGUGGCACGUGCAGAGAAAACAGUAUUUCAGGUGGUGGUGGUGGUGCUGUAUCUCAGUGUAUUACUGGGACUCUAUGUGGUGCCCCUGUAUAUUACCUCCCCCUGCAUCAUGGACCCUGAAAACCUCAAACAACGGCCUGAUGUCAUUGGCCAACGGGGAGCCUCCAUGCUCGCUCCAGAAAACACAAUGGUGUCCUUCCAACGAGCUUUGGAGAUGAACGUCACAGGGCUGGAGGUUGAUGUUACCAUUAGUAUGGAUGGAGUGCCUUUCCUGAUGCAUGACCGCACCCUGCAGAGAACCACAGAUGUGGAAAAGGUCUUCCCUGACAGACAGAUGGAUGACGCCUCAUUCUUCAACUGGACAGACCUACAGCAGCUCAACGCAGGGCAGUGGUUUCUCACAGACGACCCCUUCUGGACAGUGCACACUCUGUUCCCCAAACAGAGGCAUCAGAUUGCCAACCAGAGUGUGUGCAGCCUGGAGCAGCUUCUAAAACUGGCUUCCUACAAUAACAGCACAGUGGUUAUCAGGCUGAGGAGACCUCCCCUGGCGCAUCCCUGCUUCCACAGCUGGAUUAAUGACACCCUGCAGACCAUGCAGCAAUCUGGGAUUCAACAAAGCCUGGUGAUUUGGACUCCAGAUGACGACAGAAUGCAGGUGAAAAAGACGGCACCUGGUCUGAUCCAGGCCUCACUGGAGAAACGGAGUCCCCAAAGCCUCCACCAGGACGGCAUCAGCAGGCUGGUGCUCCGAUACAACCAGGCCAGCGCACAGGAAAUCAGAGACUUCUCCCAGAACAACAUCAAACUCACCCUGUUCUCUGUCAACGAGCCGUGGCUGUACUCGGUGCUGUGGUGCAGCGGAGUGUCUUCAGUAUCGUCGGAGGCUCCACAUAUCCUCAAAAAGGUGCCUUACCCCAUCUGGCUUAUGAGACCAAAGGAAUACUGCAUGCUGUGGGUGUCUGCGGACCUCCUCUCCUUCGCUGUAGUCAUAGGAAUAUUCAUUUUCCAGAACUAUCACAUGAUCAGGUAUCGGACAAGCGGCAUGCGCAGCUACAACCCUGAGCAGAUCAUGCUGAGUGCAGCCGUCAGGAGGUCGAGCCGAGACAUCAACGUCAUGAAGGAGAAACUCAUCUUCUCUGGUCAACCCCAGUAGCCGCCUGCCUCCUUUGUGUGAUGUCCACCACCUCCUCUCCAUCCUACCUCUCCAUCUUCUCCGAGCAGCGCCUCUACCUUUCCCCACACAUCCAUUUCCAUCCCUGUGUCUCCCCUUCAUCCAUUCAUCCUUCACACACCUCACCUCCCCCUCAGUCCUCCUACUGGGAGAUGUCAUCCAGUGUAGGGGAGCUUAUAGACGCCCCGCUCUGACAUCCUCUAGUGCUGGGGGUGAAAGAGGUGAGUAAUGGAGUGGGCAGCGCCGAGGAGCUGUACGCAGACAACGGCUACGACUGCUACACCAACCAGGGCAUCAGCCAGUGAUGGAGACUCAUAUCCCAUCAAAAAUCCCAGCGGCCUGCUCCUCCUCAGUUUACAACACAUUCUCCUCCCUCUCCUGCUGAUUUUCUGACAGACUGCUGUACCUGAUGGAGACAACUAGCACCCACCCACUCUGUGUACAUUCUGUGUAUAUAUUUUUUUCCUUUAUUUGUCAGACAUACUGUGUUUUUCAUGGUACACGAGCACUUUUUAUUGAUCAAAUCCGCCAAAUCUCUGGCCUCGACUCACGUGUCUAAAUGUCAGAGAGGCUCCACAAGUUAUCACGGCUUCUGUUUCUUUUUAAAGACGGAUUCAUUAAAGCUGAUUUUCCAAAGCUGAUCUUCAUUUUUGUUAAACAAUGUAAGUGAAAGUGCAAGGCUUUUUAAUUGCGGCAUGAGACGAAACGCUUCCAGUUCAUAUCCUACUGCUUGCCCUCUAUCGCACUCCUGUGUGCUGACAUUCAGAGUAGAAUGACACUAAUAUUUAUAUGAAAAAAAUAAUAAAACCAAAAAAAAAAUGACCAAGCUGUUUACAGAAGCCCUGCCUUCUCCUCCAAGUGAAAUAUUCACACGGUGUAUGUAAGAUAAUUAGAUGGAGGCUGAACGCCUGCUGCCCUACGUUUGAUCAGUGCAUGUUAACAGUAAUGAGCAUAUCAAAUGACAUGUGAGCUGUGCUCCUAGGAAAAAGACACUAGUGGAAAUGGUGUUUGAUGAUCUGUGCUGUCUUUAUGGUUCAUGUGAAUGUUUGAAUUUUUUUUUUUAUGAUGUGUAUCGUGUGUUUUCUGGCCGGGAAUGUAUUUUUUUAUGCCGAGUGCAGUGCUAUGUUGAGUGUUAUUGUACAUAAAAGAUGAAUUGAUGUGUGAAAUUGACAAAUGUGAUGACGUUGAACUGCUUACUGGUCACAACAGAAAUAGUUUGGCCCCUGUGGAAGUCCUUUGACUUCCCACACGAUACGAGGUGCAGUCACGUUGCUGUAUUUUAGCAUCGACAAACUAAAUGCAUCGUAAUGUUGGCUGCUGGUGUUAAACUGAACCUGCUGUAAAGGAAAUGAAGUUGAUGCUAAAAUGUGAAAAUUUAGCUUUAAGCUACUGAAGGGAUGCGAAAUGGAUUGUGUUUUUCUUUUUUUUUUUUUUUUUUUUUGGUAUUAUUGUGCCUCAGAAUUAAACAUUGAAAAUUC